AACGAACGCUGGCGGCAUGCCUAACACAUGCAAGUCGAACGAAAAGUUCGGGUCUUGUGGCGCACGGGUGCGUAACGCGUGGGAAGCUGCCCUUAGGUUCGGAAUAACUCCCCGAAAGGGGUGCUAAUACCGGAUAAUGUCUUAGGACCAAAGAUUUAUUGCCUUUGGAUGGGCCCGCGUUGGAUUAGCUAGUUGGUAGGGUAAAAGCCUACCAAGGCGACGAUCCAUAGCUGGUCUGAGAGGAUGAUCAGCAACACUGGGACUGAGACACGGCCCAGACUCCUACGGGAGGCAGCAGUAGGGAAUAUUAGACAAGGGGCGAAAGUCUGAUCCAGCAACGCCGCGUGAGUGAUGAAUACCUUAGGAUUGUAAAUCUCUUUUACCCGAGAUGAUAAUGACAGUACCGGGAGAAGAAGCUCCGGCUAACUCCGUG
rnacentral:rRNA from 1 species